rnacentral:rRNA from 1 species
UGGGGAAUCUUGCGCAAUGGGCGGAAGCCUGACGCAGCGACGCCGCGUGGGGGAUGACGGCCUUCGGGUUGUAAACCUCUUUUACCACUGAAGCAGGCCAGGGUUUUUGCUCUGGUUGACGGUAGGUGGGGAAUAAGGACCGGCUAACUACGUGCCAGCAGCCGCGGUAAUACGUAGGGUCCGAGCGUUGUCCGGAUUUAUUGGGCGUAAAGAGCUCGUAGGCGGCGUGUCGCGUCUGCUGUGAAAGCCCGGGGCUUAACUCCGGGUGUGCAGUGGAUACGGGCAUGCUUGAGGUAGGUAGGGGAGACUGGAAUUCCUGGUGUAGCGGUGAAAUGCGCAGAUAUCAGGAGGAACACCGGUGGCGAAGGCGGGUCUCUGGGCCUUACCUGACGCUGAGGAGCGAAAGCAUGGGGAGCGAACAGG